rnacentral:rRNA from 1 species
CCCAUGGAAACGUGGAUUAAUACCUCAUAGUAUUAUAGACUGGCCUCAGUUUAUGAUUAAAGGUUACGGUAAGAGAUGAGCAUGCGUCCUAUUAGCUAGAUGGUAAGGUAACGGCUUACCAUGGCAACGAUAGGUAGGGGUCCUGAGAGGGAGAUCCCCCACACUGGUACUGAGACACGGACCAGACUCCUACGGGAGGCAGCAGUGAGGAAUAUUGGACAAUGGGCGAGAGCCUGAUCCAGCCAUGCCGCGUGCAGGAAGACGGCCCUAUGGGUUGUAAACUGCUUUUACAGAGGAAGAACCCUCCUUACGAGUAAGGAGCUGACGGUACUCUAUGAAUAAGGAUCGGCUAACUCCGUGCCAGCAGCCGCGGUAAUACGGAGGAUCCAAGCGUUAUCCGGAAUCAUUGGGUUUAAAGGGUCCGUAGGCGGGU